UGAGGAAUAUUGGUCAAUGGGCGGAAGCCUGAACCAGCCAAGUCGCGUGAGGGAAUAAGGCCCUACGGGUCGUAAACCUCUUUUGCCGGGGAGCAAGGGCGGGGACGUGUCCCGGCCCGGAGAGUACCCGGAGAAAAGCAUCGGCUAACUCCGUGCC
rnacentral:rRNA from 1 species